rnacentral:lncRNA from 1 species
UGUGUGCUUAGAAAUAGAUUGUGUCCUCAGCUAAGCGUUUGCAGCAGUCGUUGGAGUCUUCCGCUGCCGCUGCCUCCUCGCGAAUCAGCCAGCGUCUCCCGCCCGCCCGCAGCCCGAGUGCCACUGGGAGGAAGCGAGAGGGAGGCCCCCUGUGGGUUUGUAGCUGCUGCUCGCCAUCCCUCCCCCAGCCUGGGAGAGCCUGCCACUCUUGUAGCCCUUA